UACGAAGGGGGCUAGCGUUGUUCGGAAUUACUGGGCGUAAAGCGUAUGCAGGCGGACUUUUAAGUCGGGGUGAAAUCCCGAGGCUCAACCUCGGAACUGCCUUCGAUACUGGAAGUCUUGAGUCCGGGAGAGGUGAGUGGAACUCCGAGUGUAGAGGUGAAAUUCGUAGAUAUUCGGAAGAACACCAGUGGCGAAGGCGGCUCACUGGCCCGGUACUGACGCUGAGAUACGAAAGCGUGGGAGCAACAGG
rnacentral:rRNA from 1 species